CUACGGGAUGCUCCAGUAGGGAAUUUUGCGCAAUGGGCGAAAGCCUGACGCAGCGACGCCACGUGUGGGAAGAAGGGUUUCGGCUCGUAAACCACUGUCAGGUGGGACGAUGAGAUAAAUAAUUAAUACUUAUUUAUUUUGACGGUACCGCCAAAGGAAGCACCGGCUAACUACGUGCCAGCAGCCGCGGUAAUACGUAGGGUGCAAGCGUGGCUCGGAAUCAUUGGGCGUAAAGGGUGCGUAGGCGGAAUAGCAAGUCAGAUGUGAAAGCCUUGAGCUUAACUCAAGAAGUGCAUUUGAUACUGUUAAUCUAGAGUUCGGGAGAGGAAAGUAGAAUUCCUGGUGUAGAGGUGGAAUCCGUAGAUAUCAGGAGGAAUACCGGAGGCGAAGGCGACUUUCUGGACCGACACUGACGCUGAGGCACGAAAGCGUGGGUAGCAAACAGGAUUAGAUACCCCCGUAGUC
rnacentral:rRNA from 1 species